UACGUAGGUGGCAAGCGUUGUCCGGAAUAACUGGGCGUAAAGCGCAUGUAGACGGCAUGAUAAGCCAAAUGUGAAAUGUAGGGGCUCAACCCCUGCACUGCGAUUGGAACUGUCAAGCUUGAGUGCAGGAGAGGCAAAUGGAAUUCCCAGUGUAGCAGUGAAAUGCGUAGAGAUUGGGAGGAACACCAGUGGCGAAGGCGAUUUGCUGGACUGCAACUGACGUUGAGAUGCGAAAGCCAGGGGAGCAAACGGGAUUAGAUACCCUGGUAGUCCACGCCGUAAACGAUGAAUGCUAGCCGUCGGGGAGCAUGCUCUUCGGUGGCGCAGCCAACGCAAUAAGCAUUCCGCCUGGGGAGUACGAUCGCAAGAUUAAA
rnacentral:rRNA from 1 species